UACGUAGGGGGCUAGCGUUGUCCGGAAUCACUGGGCGUAAAGGGUGCGUAGGCGGGUCUUUAAGUCAGGGGUGAAAUCCUGGAGCUCAACUCCAGAACUGCCUUUGAUACUGGCGACCUUGAGGCUGGAAGAGGUUAGUGGAAUUCCCAGUGUAGAGGUGAAAUUCGUAGAUAUUGGGAAGAACACCAGUGGCGAAGGCGGCUAACUGGUCCAGAUCUGACGCUGAGGUGCGAAAGCGUGGGGAGCAAACAGG
rnacentral:rRNA from 1 species